rnacentral:rRNA from 1 species
AUUGAACGCUGGCGGCAGGCUUAACACAUGCAAGUCGAGCGGGGGAGGUUGCUUCGGUAACUGACCUAGCGGCGGACGGGUGAGUAAUGCUUAGGGAUCUGCCUAUUAGUGGGGGACAACAUUCCGAAAGGGAUGCUAAUACCGCAUACGCCCUACGGGGGAAAGCAGGGGAUCUUCGGACCUUGCGCUAAUAGAUGAGCCUAAGUCGGAUUAGCUAGUUGGUGGGGUAAAGGCCUACCAAGGCGACGAUCUGUAGCGGGUCUGAGAGGAUGAUCCGCCACACUGGGACUGAGACACGGCCCAGACUCCUACGGGAGGCAGCAGUGGGGAAUAUUGGGCAAUGGGCGGAAGCCUGAUCCAGCCAUGCCGCGUGUGUGAAGAAGGCCUUUUGGUUGUAAAGCACUUUAAGCGAGGAGGAGGCUACUAGUACUAAUACUACUGGAUAGUGGACGUUACUCGCAGAAUAAGCACCGGCUAACUCUGUGCCAGCCGCCGCCGUAAUAC